rnacentral:rRNA from 1 species
UACGAGAGGCCCAAACGUUAUUCGGAAUUACUGGGCUUAAAGAGUUCGUAGGCGGCGCAGAAAGUCGGGUGUGAAAGCCCUCGGCUUAACCGAGGAAUUGCGCUCUAAACUACUGUGCUUGAGGAACCUAGAGGUGAGCAGAACAGAUGGUGGAGCGGUGAAAUGCGUUGAUAUCAUCUGGAAUACCGGAGGCGAAGGCGGCUCACUGGGGGUUUUCUGACGCUGAGGAACGAAAGCCAGGGUAGCGAACGGG